GCGGCGGUGGAACAAUUGGUGGUGUUAGGGUUUCUGUCACUAGUUUAGGUUAUGGGCUAGGUUUAUUUUGGGCUGAAUUGGGUUUGGGUAGUUGGGCUUGCAAUGGACUGGACUUUAGCUUAUUUUGGUUUUAUUUAUUUUUGGUUUAAUUGGGCCCGGGCAAAUUUGGGCUUCUACAACUAAUUUUUUGAAAUUUUGACAAAUUUGGUUGUAAG
rnacentral:lncRNA from 1 species